rnacentral:rRNA from 1 species
GACGAACGCUGGCGGCGUGCUUAACACAUGCCAGUCGAACGGAAAGGCCCUGCUUUUGUGGGGUGCUCGAGUGGCGAACGGGUGAGUAACACGUGAGUAACCUGCCCUUGACUUUGGGAUAACUUCAGGAAACUGGGGCUAAUACCGGUUAGGAGCUCCUGCUGCAUGGUGGGGGUUGGAAAGUUUCGGCGGUUGGGGAUGGACUCGCGGCUUAUCAGCUUGGUGGUGGGGUAGUGGCUUACCAAGGCUUUGCCGGGUAGCCGGCCUGAGAGGGUGACCGGCCACAUUGGGACUGAGAUACGGCCCAGACUCCUACGGGAGGCAGCAGUGGGGAAUAUUGCACAAUGGGCGGAAGCCUGAUGCAGCAACGCCGCGUGCGGGAUGACGGCCUUCGGGUUGUAAACCGCUUUCGCCUGUGACGAAGCGUGAGUGACGGUAAUGGGUAAAGAAGCACCGGCUAACUACGUG